GCCGCCCUCCCGCUCAUCGGCCCCGCGCGGUCCUCGCUGCCCUCCCGCACCGCUGGUCACCCACCGCCCAGCCCCGCCCGCUCUGAGGAAUGCACCGGGAUUGAACCUGCUGAAAAUAACCCAUUCUUGCAUUGCCUAGGAAAUACGAAUACCAGAUGUUUAGUUUUACAAGUGCCAGGAGAUCAAAGAUAGGAGAACUGUAUCAUUAAUCUUUCUUCAAAGACCAUGCAAAGAGAGGCACCUUUGGAAAAUUCAGAAACAAAACCUGAUUUACACACUUGGAAAGAGUUUUAGUAUCAUUUACCAGCCAUGGAGAAAAUAUGCCUAUGAUAUUAAAAGGUGAGACAAAAUGGGGCAGUAGGAUUGACUUGGCUCUGUAAGAGCAGGGAUUAGUAGCAGAAAUUCACCUGGUGCUUUUUUCUGUAACAAA